AGGAGUAGCUUUCUGCAAAGCAGUAUUGCCUCCUAACAGCAGUGUAUAUUCACAAAAGAAAUGCACUGCUAGAAUUUUCGCCUGCUCACCUCCCCCUAAAAGAGGAACUGCAGCAUUGCAGAACCUCUAACUACCGGUUCUUCUAAGAUCCUGAAUGGCAAGUUCCUGUCUUGGGCAGCAAAGAGCCUCAGGACUAACAGAGCCUGAAUUAUAGAAAACAAAACACUGGUAUUCAUCUACCUAUGUCUUACUGGAAAACCAUAGGAAAACUGAAAAUAUAUGCAGAAGAAAUGGGAUGGUAUUUCACCAUGUCGCCCAGGCUGGUC